rnacentral:rRNA from 1 species
UCGCUACUACCGAUUGAACAGUUUAGUGAGAUCUUCGGACUGGCGCGUCGUCGCUGGCAACAGAGUCUUUGUGCUGGGAAGUUGAUCAAACUUGAUUGUUUAGAGGAAGUAA